GACGAACGCUGGCGGCGUGCCUAACACAUGCAAGUCGAGCGAGAAUCUUACGACGGAUUCCUUCGGGAUGAAGAUGUAAGAGGAAAGCGGCGGACGGGUGAGUAACGCGUGAGUAACCUGCCUAUCAGAGGGGGACAACAGUUGGAAACGACUGCUAAUACCGCAUAACAUAUUUUUAUGGCAUCAUAGAAAUAUCAAAGAUUUAUCGCUGCUAGAUGGACUCGCGUCCGAUUAGAUAGUUGGUAGGGUAACGGCCUACCAAGUCGACGAUCGGUAGCCGAACUGAGAGGUUGAUCGGCGACAUUGGGACUGAGACACGGCCCAGACUCCUACGGGAGGCAGCAGUGGGGGAUAUUGCGCAAUGGGGGCAACCCUGACGCAGCAACGCCGCGUGAAGGAUGAAGGUUUUCGGAUCGUAAACUUCUUUAAGUGUGGAAGAAAUUGACGGUACACACAGAAUAAGCCACGGCUAACUACGUGCCAGCAGCCGCGGUAACAC
rnacentral:rRNA from 1 species